rnacentral:miRNA from 1 species
AACCCUGGUUCUGAGCAUCUGACACAUCUGACUGGGUUCAUGUGUGUCGCUUCCGCAUAUUCCACGUGUGCUCGUGAGUGAUGCGGAAAAGGUAAUAUAUCCCAUAUAGUAUAGAUAGAUAUAUUUCUACCUAUUUUUUAGGUAGAAAUAUAUCUAUCUAUACUAUAUGGGAUAUAUUACCUUUUCCGCAUCACUCACGAGCACACGUGGAAUAUGCGGAAGCGACACACAUGAACCCAGUCAGAUGUGUCAGAUGCUCAGAACCAGGGUU